UAGCGAAGGGGGCUAGUCGUUGCUCGGAAUCACUGGGCGUAAAGGGUGCGUGAGGCGGGUCUUUUAAAGUCAGGGGUGAAAUCCUGGAGCUCAACUCCAGAACUGCCUUUGAUACUGAAGAUCUCGAGUCCGGGAGAGGUGAGUGGAAUUCCUAGUGUAGAGGUGGAAAUUCGUAGAUAUUAGGAAGAACACCAGUGGCGAAGGCGGCUCACUGGCCCGGUACUGAACG
rnacentral:rRNA from 1 species